GAGAUGACCUGCAGACCAAUAACAAGAAGCUAGAAAGACUUAACUCCAAACUGACCCAAAACAUGAGCCAAUUAAAGGCUGAGAAAGACAACUUGAAGGCCAUUAACAGGAACCUCAGCCAAGAAAAAAAAGGAAUUACAGACACAGCUUUCAAAGGCGUUGGCAGAUGUAUGUGCUUAUGGGAACAGUUUUGGUGGCAGUUGUUAUUUGUUCUCCAUCACA